UACGUAGGGUGCGAGCGUUAAUCGGAAUUACUGGGCGUAAAGCGUGCGCAGGCGGUUCGUUGUGUCGGCGGUGAAAGCCCCGGGCUUAACCUGGGAAUGGCCGUCGAAACUGGCGAACUGGAGUGUGGCAGAGGGGGGUGGAAUUCCGCGUGUAGCAGUGAAAUGCGUAGAGACCCGGAGGAACACCAGUGGCGAAGGCGGCUUCCUGGUCUGCGACUGACGCUGUGGCGCGAAAGCUAGGGGAGCAAACGGG
rnacentral:rRNA from 1 species